rnacentral:rRNA from 1 species
GCUCAGUAACACGUGGAUAACCUACCCUUAGGACUGGGAUAACCUUGGGAAACUGAGGACAAUACCGGAUAGGCAAUUAUUCCUGUAAUGGUUUUUUGUUUAAAUGUUUUUUCGCCUAAGGAUGGGUCUGCGGCCGAUUAGGUAGUUGGUUAGGUAAUGGCUUACCAAGCCGUUGAUCGGUAAGGGUUGAGAGAGCAAGAGCCCGGAGAUGGAACCUGAGACAAGGUUCCAGGCCCUACGGGGUGCAGCAGGCGCGAAACCUCCACAAUGUGAGAAAUCGCGAUGGGGGGAUCCCAAGUGCCAUUCUUAACGGGAUGGCUUUUCAUUAGUGUAAAAAGCUUUUGGAAUAAGAGCUGGGCAAGACCGGUGCCAGCCGCCGCGGUAACACCGGCAGCUCUAGUGGUAGCAAUUUUUAUUGGGCCUAAAGCGUCCGUAGCCGGUUUAAUAAGUCUCUGGUGAAAUCCUGUAGCUUAACUGUGGGAAUUGCUGGAGAUACUAUUAGACUUGAGACCGGGAGAGGUUAGAGGUACUCCCAGGGUAGAGGUGAAAUUCUGUAAUCCUGGGAGGACCGCCUGUUGCGAAGGCGUCUAACUGGAACGGUUCUGACGGUGAGGGACGAAAGUUAGGGGCGCGAACCGGAUUAGAUACCCGGGUAGUCCUAACUGUAAACGAUGCGGACUUGGUGUUGGGGUGGCUUUGAGCUGUCCCAGUGCCGAAGGGAAGCUGUUAAGUCCGCCGCCUGGGAAGUACGGUCGCAAGACUGAAACUUAAAGGAAUUGGCGGGGGAGCAC